rnacentral:rRNA from 1 species
UUGACCUCGGAUCAGGUAGGGAUACCCGCUGAACUUAAGCAUAUCAAUAAGCGGAGGAAAAGAAACCAACAGGGAUUGCCCUAGUAACGGCGAGUGAAGCGGCAACAGCUCAAAUUUGAAAUCUGGCGUCUUCGGCGUCCGAGUUGUAAUUUGCAGAGGGCGCUUUGGCAUUGGCAGCGGUCCAAGUUCCUUGGAACAGGACGUCACAGAGGGUGAGAAUCCCGUACGUGGUCGCUAGCCUUUACCGUGUAAAGCCCCUUCGACGAGUCGAGUUGUUUGGGAAUGCAGCUCUAAAUGGGAGGUAAAUUUCUUCUAAAGCUAAAUACUGGCCAGAGACCGAUAGCGCACAAGUAGAGUGAUCGAAAGAUGAAAAGCACUUUGGAAAGAGAGUUAAAAAGCACGUGAAAUUGUUGAAAGGGAAGCGCUUGCAGCCAGACUUGCCUGUAGUUGCUCAUCCGGGUUUCUACCCGGUGCACUCUUCUACGGGCAGGCCAGCAUCAGUUUGGGCGGUUGGAUAAAGGUCUCUGUCAUGUACCUCUCUUCGGGGAGAACUUAUAGGGGAGACGACAUGCAACCAGCCUGGACUGAGGUC